GACGAACGCUGGCGGCGUGCUUAACACAUGCAAGUCGAACGGAAAGGCCCUGCUUUUGUGGGGUGCUCGAGUGGCGAACGGGUGAGUAACACGUGAGUAACCUGCCCUUGACUUUGGGAUAACUUCAGGAAACUGGGGCUAAUACCGGAUAGGAGCUCCUGCUGCAUGGUGGGGGUUGGAAAGUUUCGGCGGUUGGGGAUGGACUCGCGGCUUAUCAGCUUGUUGGUGGGGUAGUGGCUUACCAAGGCUUUGACGGGUAGCCGGCCUGAGAGGGUGGCCGGCCACAUUGGGACUGAGAUACGGCCCAGACUCCUACGGGAGGCAGCAGUGGGGAAUAUUGCACAAUGGGCGGGAGCCUGAUGCAGCAACGCCGCGUGCGGGAUGACGGCCUUCGGGUUGUAAACCGCUUUCGCCUGUGACGAAGCGUGAGUGACGGUAAUGGGUAAAGAAGCACCGGCUAACUACGUG
rnacentral:rRNA from 1 species